ensembl:lncRNA
GCAGCUUAUAGGCAUAUAAAUGUUAAUUUUCCAAAUUCUUCACAUUAAACCUUUGUAAUAAAAUGAAUAUCACCGAGCACUUUUGGGGGAAGAAAAGAGAUGAACACUCCAGCAUGAAAUGGGAUUUUGAUAUAUGAAAGUGAUUUAUUUAACUCGUGUCUUUCUCAGGCAUUUCACAACUGGGUCUUACUAACGUGUUACUCUGUUUCCAGCAUCUCAUUCGUUUAGCUGCACACUGUUUCUUCCAAGAACCUGGAGGAAGCUAAUUUAAAAAUAUUUACGUAAAGCAGAAAUGUGCAGUGUUUUUGCACAUUGCAGAAAUGUGCAAUGUGCAAUCUACUUUUUUUGUGGGAAAAAGCAAAUAGCUUUAAGAAAACAUCCUCUAGGGAGUGAAAAAGGUCGGCACCAAAUAUUUCAGUUUCCCCAGAGCCUACUCUAAAAACUGGAACUGAACCAAACUUUACUUUUGCUAUUAAUAAUUUUUAUUUACUUUUAUUUGGUUUAUUAACAACAAAAACAAUACAGCAGAAUGUAUCCUACUUAAAAAAAAAAUCUACUUGAUCAGUUUUAAUCCACACUGAUGCAGUUUCCUCAAAACUAUCUUUUGACUCAACACGCUGCAAGGACAGAUAAAGUUGAACAACAACACGAGUCUAGACUCAUCAGCCUUGAGGUUUCUUCAGUUGGGACAGACAAAGGAACAAACAGGAAACUUGUUCUGCGGCUGUUCAAGAGAAGGUGUAGGCCCCGCCCUCUGGGAUUACGAUUGGCCGUGAGAAAGAUGCACACCACGGCAACAGCUUCUGAUUGGCUAGCUGAGCUGUGAACUAAUGUUCUUUAACUCUGCUGGAGUGUGUAAACAGCUUUUUCAGAGUAGAGGGUGGUUGAAAAAUUUAAAAGGCCUGGACCCCAGCAAGAGAAGUAAAUGUUAAUGUUCUCAGCUGUGAAUUCUUUCUAUGGGGCCUCUGAAAUAUAUCAGGUCCACCUCAUUAGGUCAAAAUAGCCAAACUUUAUCUCAUUUAUCUAGUAUUCGCCUAGUGUGUCUAGUAAAAGCUAAAGCUUUUUUUGGAAAAGCAUAACAGUACACUAUUAUUUCUGGGUUUUGCGAAUUGCGUUCUGACUCAUUUCAGAAUGUAAUGAGCAAUUAUAAUGUCUGUUUCUUUUCACAUACUUGGGUGGAGCAUGUUUUCGGACCAAAAAAUCUAUUUUUUUUUUUUUUUUAGCUGUUUGAAGUCAGCAUGAGUUAAAAUUCACCCCAUCAAUUUUCUAAAUGCAUGUUAAUUAUUUGAAUGAUUCAUCCAUGAAAAUGUUUCAUUUUUAAAAAAAAAAAAAUCAAAAUUUAAACUUCACAGACUUCUGGUGAUGUAUGCCUUACUUUUCCAGUCAUUUAAUCCACGUAAAUAUAUCACACCUUUCUUAUAAUCUGCAAGCUCACAUUCUGAUCUGCCUCCAUCCAAUCAACAACCGCAAGAAAACAAUUUUCCGUUCAGAGCACUCACUCCCAGACCACAGCAAAACUGCUUAGUAUAAAUGAUUUGUUAAUUGAUGGGAGUGCAAAGCUGAUUCACAUUAGCACACAGAUUGAGAGAGAAAAAAAACAAUCAUAUCCUGUCACCCCACAGACCAAAACUCCACAGAAGCCACUGCUCCAGAAGAGUCGGUCCCCACUCAGGGACUCACCCCAAGGAUGGUGGAGACCUUCGAAAACACUGACUCCUUCCCCUCGCAGGUGGAGGGUGCGGCGGUGCAGCCCGUGAAGGGAGUCCGACAGCAGGUCAGGAGUGGACCCAAGAAGAAGAAAGACCUUGGGACUCUCGGUUAUGUUCUGGCCGUCUUCAUGAUGGCCAUUAUCAUCCUACUUGGAGGUGGCAUCACAAUAGGAUACUUCUACAAACGGGGUCGUGACCUCAAGAAACAGCACGAGCAGCGGGUUUACGAGCGUGAGAUGCAUCGCAUCACUCUUCCACUCUCAGCCUUUGCCAACCCCACCUGCGAGCUGGUGGAUGAGAACACCAUCGUCAUCACAGCUCAACCCAACAACCAGACCCCCACUCAGGAGCCCGUCGAGGGGGCCGACCCGCUUAUGGGGACAGCAGGGACCCCUGGAGCCUGAUGGAGGAACAGGAUGAGCGCCUGGAAAGGCGUCUUUGUUAAGACAUGUCUAUGCAGUAUUGCAGAAUCUCAGAGGACUAAACCCCAUGUCCACCUUCCCUCUGCCUGUCGUCUCUUUUCUCUUUACCUUGCCUUUACAGCACGGUUUCACAGUAAAGGUAGGGCAUAUGCCUUGAGAGAGUGGUGGAAAGCAUUUUUUGUCCCAGACAGUGUCCUUAUUUUCUCAACAAAGUUGUUGGGGAAAGUAGGACAUGUGGGGAUACACUGGAAGAAGGUGAAAUGGUGGGUUUGUAUUAAUAUGCAUGUCAGGGAUUCCCGUGGAGAAAAAUUGCAAGUACGUUUUGUGAGCAUCAUCACAGGGCAUGAACUUUCCCUGCUUGUUAAACUCCAACGAGACGGCGACUGUCCAGUUAACUGUGCCGUGUCCUCUGGAUCAGAUCAUCAGAUGUUCUGGGGUUUUGAAAGAGAAGACAAUCCACUCUUAUCUUCUUUCCUGCCUUUUCUGUUGUUUUUGUUCCUAACGCAGUUGUGGUGGAGAGUUGAGACUGAAAUUGUACAUGUGUAUCUGAAUUUGUUGCUCUACAGCUGGGCUGUUUAUUCUUUAGGGAGAUUUGGUUAGCAACUAGAGCUAAUUGAGUUAAUUGCCUUUGAUAGCUCUUCCCCAGAAAUCCAUAUUCAUUAGGCAGAUCAUGUGGCCUGGGAUGCUAGCGCUAAGCUAGGUGAAGGUUUUGACUAAAUGAAGAGGAAAUCUUUCCAGAGAUCUUGCCUUAGUAAAUUACAUUUGAAUGUAUUGUUGCUCCUGUGGCCACAGUCUGAUGAAGAGCAAGUGAGCGCUGUCAUGACUUCAGCAAACCAGUCAGAGUGGGUCUCUGGGUACAUUUACUGUAUCCGUGUUCAUUUGUUCCUGAACAUACAGAUGGUCUGAAAUAGGACAUAGUUUGAAGCUUGAACCUGAAACUGAGAGUGUGUUCAAGAUGACGUAUUAAAGUAAUGUAUUAUGGUUUUAUUUAACAGAGAUGGGAUUUUUUUGAUGAAUG